GCGCGAGCAGGUGCGAAAGCAGGUCAUAGUGAUCCGGUGGUUCUGAAUGGAAGGGCCAUCGCUCAACGGAUAAAAGGUACUCCGGGGAUAACAGGCUGAUACCGCCCAAGAGUUCAUAUCGACGGCGGUGUUUGGCACCUCGAUGUCGGCUCAUCACAUCCUGGGGCUGAAGUAGGUCCCAAGGGUAUGGCUGUUCGCCAUUUAAAGUGGUACGCGAGCUGGGUUUAGAACGUCGUGAGACAGUUCGGUCCCUAUCUGCCGUGGGCGCUGGAGAACUGAGGGGGGCUGCUCCUAGUACGAGAGGACCGGAGUGGACGCAUCACUGGUGUUCGGGUUGUCAUGCCAAUGGCACUGCCCGGUAGCUAAAUGCGGAAGAGAUAAGUGCUGAAAGCAUCUAAGCACGAAACUUGCCCCGAGAUGAGUUCUCCCUGACUCCUUGAGAGUCCUGAAGGAACGUUG
rnacentral:rRNA from 1 species